rnacentral:rRNA from 1 species
UACCGAGGUCCCAAGCGUUGUUCGGAUUCAUUGGGCGUAAAGGGUGCGUAGGCGGCGCGGUAAGUCGGGUGUGAAAUCUCGGGGCUUAACUCCGAAACUGCAUUCGAUACUGCCGUGCUUGAGGACUGGAGAGGAGACUGGAAUUUACGGUGUAGCGGUGAAAUGCGUAGAUAUCGUAAGGAAGACCAGUGGCGAAGGCGGGUCUCUGGACAGUUCCUGACGCUGAGGCACGAAGGUCAGGGGAGCAAACGGG